GGCGGCAUGCUUAACACAUGCAAGUCGCACGGUCAGCAAUGGCAGUGGCGGACGGGUGAGUAACACGUAGGAAUCUAUCCCGGGGUGGGGGAUAACAGUGGGAAACUACUGCUAAUACCGCAUGAUACCUGAGGGUCAAAGGCGCAAGUCGCCUGGGGAGGAGCCUGCGUCUGAUUAGCUUGUUGGUGGGGUAAAGGCCUACCAAGGCUACGAUCAGUAGCUGGUCUGAGAGGAUGAUCAGCCACAUUGGGACUGAGACACGGCCCAAACUCCUACGGGAGGCAGCAGUGGAGAAUAUUGGACAAUGGGGGAAACCCUGAUCCAGCAAUGCCGCGUGUGUGAAGAAGGUCUUCGGAUUGUAAAGCACUUUUGGCAGGGACGAUGAUGACGGUACCUGCAGAAUAAGCCCCGGCUAACUUCGUGCCAGCAGCCGCGGUAAUACGAAGGGGGCUAGCGUUGCUCGGAAUGACUGGGCGUAAAGGGCGCGUANGCGGCAUAGACAGUCAGAAGUGAAAUUCCUGGGCUCAACCUGGGGACUGCUUUUGAUACGUCUAAGCUA
rnacentral:rRNA from 1 species